CACGUAGGGCGCAAGCGUUGUCCGGAAUUAUUGGGCGUAAAGAGCUCGUAGGCGGUCUGUUGCGUCCGCUGUGAAAUCUCGGGGCUUAACCCCGAGCCUGCAGUGGAUACGGGCAGACUAGAGGUAGGUAGGGGAGAAUGGAAUUCCUGGUGUAGCGGUGAAAUGCGCAGAUAUCAGGAAGAACACCCGUGGCGAAGGCGGUUCUCUGGGACGGUACUGACGCUGAGACGCGAAAGCGUGGGGAGCGAACAGG
rnacentral:rRNA from 1 species